rnacentral:rRNA from 1 species
GAUGAACGCUGGCGGUCUGCUUAACACAUGCAAGUCGAACGGAAUCCUUCGGGAUUUAGUGGCGGACGGGUGAGUAACACGUGAGAAUCUGCACUCAGGAUGGGGACAACAGCGGGAAACUGCUGCUAAUACCCAAUGUGUCGAAAGGUAAAAGAUUUAUCGCCUGAGAAUGAGCUCGCGGCCGAUUAGUUAGUUGGUGGGGUAAUGGCCUACCAAGACGGCGAUCGGUAGCUGGUCUGAGAGGAUGAGCAGCCACACUGGGACUGAGACACGGCCCAGACUCCUACGGGAGGCAGCAGUGGGGAAUUUUCCGCAAUGGGCGCAAGCCUGGCGGAGCAAGACCGCGUGGGGGAGGAAGGCUCUUGGGUUGUAAACCCCUUUUCUCAAGGAAGAACAAAAUGACGGUACUUGAGGAAUCAGCCUCGGCUAACUCCGUGCCAGCCGCCGCCGUAACAC